rnacentral:rRNA from 1 species
GACGAACGCUGGCGGCGUGCUUAACACAUGCAAGUGGAGCGACGAACCGGGCUUCGGCCCGGGGCAAAGCCGCGAACGGGUGAGUAACACGUGGGUUACCUGCCCCGUUGACCGGGACAACCCGAGGAAACUCGAGCUAAUACCGGAUGUGCUCUUCGGAGGAAAGGAAGCUUCGGCCUCCGCAACGGGAUGGGCCCGCGGCCCAUUAGCUUGUUGGUGGGGUAACGGCCUACCAAGGCUGCGAUGGGUAGCUGGUCUGAGAGGACGAUCAGCCACACUGGGACUGAGACACGGCCCAGACUCCUACGGGAGGCAGCAGUGGGGAAUCUUGCGCAAUGCGCGAAAGCGUGACGCAGCAACGCCGCGUGCGGGAAGACGGCCUUCGGGUUGUAAACCGCUUUCAGUUGGGACGAAGCCUCGUCGGUGAAUAGCCGGCUGAGGUGACGGUACCUUCAGAAGAAGCCCCGGCUAACUACGUGCCAGCCGCCGCAGUAACAC